rnacentral:rRNA from 1 species
AGAGUUUGAUCAUGGCUCAGAUUGAACGCUGGUGGCAUGCUUAACACAUGCAAGUCGAACGGAAACGCGAAGAGCUUGCUCUUUGGCGUCGAGUGGCGGACGGGUGAGUAACGCGUGGGAAUCUACUCAGUAAUGGGGGAUAGCCAGGAGAAAUUCUGAUUAAUACCGCAUACGAUCUACGGAUGAAAGGUGGCCUCUACAUGUAAGCUAUCGCUAUUGAAUGAGCCCGCGUUAGAUUAGCUAGUUGGUAGGGUAAAGGCCUACCAAGGCGACGAUCUAUAGCUGGUCUGAGAGGACGACCAGCCACAUCGGGACUGAGACACGGCCCGGACUCCUACGGGAGGCAGCAGUGGGGAAUAUUGGACAAUGGGCGCAAGCCUGAUCCAGCAAUGCCGCGUGUGUGAAGAAGGCCUGAGGGUUGUAAAGCACUUUCAAUUGUGAAGAAGAGAUUAAGAUUAAUACUCUUGAUCUUUGACGUUAACUUUAGAAGAAGCACCGGCUAACUCUGUGCCAGCAGCCGCGGUAAUACAGAGGGUGCGAGCGUUAAUCGGAAUUACUGGGCGUAAAGCGCGCGUAGGCGGUUAUUUAAGUCAGAUGUGAAAUCCCCGGGCUCAACCUGGGAACUGCAUCUGAUACUGGGUAACUAGAGUUUGGGAGAGGGAAGUAGAAUUUCAGGUGUAGCGGUGAAAUGCAUAGAGAUCUGAAGGAAUACCAGUGGCGAAGGCGACUUCCUGGCCUAAAACUGACGCUGAGGCGCGAAAGCGUGGGUAGCAAACGGGAUUAGAUACCCCGGUAGUCCACGCCGUAAACGAUGUCAACUAGUCGUUGGUCCCCUUGAGGGAUCAGUGACGCAGCUAACGCAUUAAGUUGACCGCCUGGGGGAGUACGG